CUUAACAUAGAGAUACAGAGCAAUGGAAUGAGUUGGUGAUACAGAAAAACAUACAGUAGAAAAGAGUGCACCUUAAUACCUACAGAACUGUCUUAAGCUAAUCUGAAGAAGCAUAAAGUUGCUCGUUUACCUGUUCUUUGUGUUGUAGGUGCAGCUCAAAGGAAGAUGAUGGCUACCAGAAGACAUGAACAAAGGGUAAGUGGCAUUAUACCUCUGAAGAACUUUAUAUAUAUUGAUCCCUGCACAGAAGGCAAACCCGUUUGUGAGGCUGCUGGAAAAAGACCAAUCUUCUACAGUAUGUGUCAAAUUGUAACUUGGAGUGGAUGGUGUUGGGAAGCAGCAAUUGCUUGAAGUUAAUAAAGAAGCUUAAAAC